UGAGGAUAUUUCUUUUCAAAGAAUUUUCCCGCGCCGUCACCGAUUCCGUUUGCGACAGUCGCGUUCAUACGUCAGUUGCGUUCAGCCCAGCCGUACACGUUUUGGAGCAUUUGUCAGGAUCAAAGUAGCGAAGCUUAACUGAUUUACACAUGGUGGUUUAAUUCAUAAGUAAACAGGAUUUUAACUCUGGGUAGCUUUAAAAAAGAUCAAAUAGCUGAAGAUUAUCCAAUACCAGUGAAAAUAGAUCAAUCGAUGGAAAAUUCCUGCAAGACUAAAGACUUUUCAGACAAUACAGUUUCAGCAUCUGAAUCCAUGGAAGAAAUUACACCUCGAUUAAAAUGUACCUGCGCUUCAACAUGAAGACUUUUAGCCUGCAUAUCAAAUACAUCUAAACGAGAGACAAAGAUCCUUGGAAUUAUCCUGGAACUUCAGAGUGCUCAAUCUGCAAUAUUGCAGAUAACAUCACAGGAACUGUUACAAUAUGCCCAGAAUGAGGCAAAUAGGAGAGAAAUGGAUCAAGAGAAAUUGGCAAUGGAGAGAGAAAGAUUGCAGAUGUUGAGGGAAAUGCUUGAUCUAAAGAAACAAAAUAUGGAACUUGAAAGAACAAAAUUGAUGGCAUUGAUGAGCAUCAACGAAAACUUAACUCUGAUUGUAAAUCCUCAGAGGAGACCAUAAAUUAGUUUUUGCUUCAUCCUACCUUUUUUUAAUUACUUUAAUUACGCUAAUACUAAGAUUUUUGCAUACCAACUAUGUCAACACAAAACAAAGUGUUUCUUUACUGAAUACUGAAUAUAGUAUUCACAAGCACUAUUUAUUGAUUAGUGCCUUGAUUAGGAUAAGAUUUUUCUAUUAUAAGAUUUUUAUUUGUUUCAGCUACAAAACUUGAA
rnacentral:lncRNA from 1 species